GUACUGCUGAGGAGUCCCACGACGGGACGAAAUGGCUGUCCAGUAC
rnacentral:hammerhead_ribozyme from 1 species